GACGGGGGAUGCAAGCGUUAUCCGGAAUUAUUGGGCGUAAAGCGUCCGCAGGUGGCAGUUCAAGUCUGCUGUCAAAGACCGGGGCUUAACUUCGGAAAGGCAGUGGAAACUGAACAGCUAGAGUAUGGUAGGGGCAGAGGGAAUUCCUGGUGUAGCGGUGAAAUGCGUAGAGAUCAGGAAGAACAUCGGUGGCGAAGGCGCUCUGCUGGACCAUAACUGACACUCAGGGACGAAAGCUAGGGGAGCGAAUGGG
rnacentral:rRNA from 1 species